ensembl:lncRNA
CAAGAUAGAACAAGGCCAAUCAUUGGAUGAGAAGGAAGGAUGGGCGGGAGAAAAGUUUGAGGGAAGAGGAGGAGACUGGAACAGAAAGAGCCUGGAAGAAGAAGCUGUUGAGAGAACAUGGAGUUAAGAUCAUGUGCACAUCGUGGCUGGAAAUAGAGAAGACCAAGCCGCUUGGUACAAUAAAGUGAGAAGACAUUAACCAGUUGGAGGGAAGGAGGUUGGGGUGCUGGAUGAGAGAAGUUUGUCUUCGUCAAAAGGCCAAGCAGCUUUAUUGUAAUAACAAGAAACUGGAAGCAACCCAGAUGCCUAUCAAGUAAAGAACAGAUACUGAAAAUGUGGUUGAUCUACACAAUGGAAUACUAUUCAGCUAUUAAAAACAAG